rnacentral:rRNA from 1 species
AUUGAACGCUGGCGGCAGGCCUAGCACAUGCAAGUCGAGCGGAUGAAGGGAGCUUGCUCCUGGAUUCAGCGGCGGACGGGUGAGUAAUGCCUAGGAAUCUGCCUGGUAGUGGGGGAUAACGUCCGGAAACGGGCGCUAAUACCGCAUACGUCCUGAGGGAGAAAGUGGGGGAUCUUCGGACCUCACGCUAUCAGAUGAGCCUAGGUCGGAUUAGCUAGUUGGUGGGGUAAAGGCCUACCAAGGCGACGAUCCGUAACUGGUCUGAGAGGAUGAUCAGUCACACUGGAACUGAGACACGGUCCAGACUCCUACGGGAGGCAGCAGUGGGGAAUAUUGGACAAUGGGCGAAAGCCUGAUCCAGCCAUGCCGCGUGUGUGAAGAAGGUCUUCGGAUUGUAAAGCACUUUAAGUUGGGAGGAAGGGCGGUAAGUUAAUACCUUGCUGUUUUGACGUUACCAACAGAAUAAGCACCGGCUAACUUCGUG